UGACACUUGUUGGAAACGUUUCCUCUAGUUAAACAUCCUCUUUCAUUGCUGCAGUGAUGAAGAACUGGAGCUACGCAGGAGACCACAUGGAGGGAAGAUAUUGACAUUUGACGUUUGGGAUUUUCUUUUCACCGGACCUGUCUGAGGUCCAUUGAAGACCUCCCGGAGGGUGACCCGGACAGAAAUGCUGCCGUGACGCCAGUCUUCAGGCUGACAUGUCAAGGAUAUUCAGCAGAUCGCAAAGGUGUGUCCCUCCUGCUAAACCACUAAAAGAGAAGCUAUCAAUGCUUUUGCUAUCAUUGUGAGCCUCUUACAAGAAUUGCAAAGCCUAUAACGAUCCUGAGCUGAUG